rnacentral:snRNA from 1 species
UCCCAAAAAAAAAAAAAAAAAAAAAAAAAAAGAUUAGCAUGGCCCCUGCGCAAGGAUGAUAUGCAAAUUCGUGAAGCCUUCCAUAUUUUU